rnacentral:rRNA from 1 species
CCUACGGGUGGCAGCAGUAGGGAAUCUUCGGCAAUGGACGAAAGUCUGACCGAGCAACGCCGCGUGAGUGAAGAAGGUUUUCGGAUCGUAAAACUCUGUUGUUAGAGAAGAACAAGUAGGAGAGUAACUGCUCUUACCUUGACGGUAUCUAACCAGAAAGCCACGGCUAACUACGUGCCAGCAGCCGCGGUAAUACGUAGGUGGCAAGCGUUGUCCGGAUUUAUUGGGCGUAAAGCGAGCGCAGGCGGUCUUUUAAGUCUGAUGUGAAAGCCCUCGGCUCAACCGUGGAGGGUCAUUGGAAACUGGGGGACUUGAGUGCAGAAGAGGAGAGUGGAAUUCCACGUGUAGCGGUGAAAUGCGUAGAGAUGUGGAGGAACACCAGUGGCGAAGGCGACUCUCUGGUCUGUAACUGACGCUGAGGAGCGAAAGCGUGGGGAGCGAACAGGAUUAGAUACCCCUGUAGUC